rfam:Methanoculleus bourgensis MS2T complete genome
GCUGCUAUAGUGUAGACCGGCCAAUCAUGUAGGACUCUCACUCCUACGACUGGGGUUCGAAUCCCCAUAGCAGCA